rnacentral:rRNA from 1 species
GAUGAACGCUGGCGGCGUGCCUAAUACAUGCAAGUCGAGCGAACAGACGAGGAGCUUGCUCCUUGGACGUUAGCGGCGGACGGGUGAGUAACACGUGGAUAACCUACCUAUAAGUCUGGGAUAACUUCGGGAAACCGGAGCUAAUACCGGAUAAUAUAUUGAAGCGCAUGGUUCAAUAGUGAAAGACGGUUUUGCUGGCACUUAUAGCUGGAUCCGCGCCGCAUUAGCUAGUUGGUAAGGUAACGGGCUACCAAGGCAACGAUGCGUAGCCGAGCUGAGAGGGUGGUCGGCCACACGGGAGGGUGACCGGCGUCCAGGCUCCUGCGAGAGGCAGCAGUAGGGAAUGUUCGGCAGUGGGGGAAAGCCUGACGGAGCAGGCGCGAGCGAGUGAUAGAGGUGUUGGGUUCGGAAAGCUCUGUUACUGGUUGAGAACCACUGUGUAAGUAGCUGUAGCCGUCUUGACGGUACCUGAUCAGAAAGCAACGGCUAACUACGUG